GCAAGUCGCACGAGAACACUUGGCUUCGGCCAGGUAAGUAAAGUGGCGCACGGGUGAGUAACGCGUGGGUAAUCUACCCCAGAGUUUGGGAUAACAUUGCGAAAGCGAUGCUAAUACCGGAUGAAGUCUUUGAAACUUAGGUAUUAAAGAUGAAAGAUGGCCUCUACAUGUAAGCUAUUGUUUUGGGAUGAGCCCGCGUACCAUUAGCUAGUUGGUGGGGUAACGGCCUACCAAGGCAGCGAUGGUUAGCUGGUCUGAGAGGAUGAUC
rnacentral:rRNA from 1 species